UAGCCUUGUGGGAAGAUAUUGCUGUUCACCCAGUUCCCACAAAACCAUCGUUGGGACAAAGUCCCAGGACCACCCCCACCCCCACUCCCCGCCGCCGCUGCCCUGCUCCGUCCAUGCUCAUGCCCAACAGCUGAAGAAUGCUGAACCACUCACCAGAGAUAAGGGCAUGUCUAAGAAGACCGUGCCCUGGUCAAGAGACUACCCUUGCUGCUGUUCUCUGGAUUCCACAGCAGCUGGGCAGCACUGAGGGAGACCAUGAGGCACUGGGUCUUCACCUAUGAAGGGCUCCCCUGGGACCGAUCUGUUCAUGGAAGGUACUCGGAGACAGCCCUGAAUCAAGAAGAAAGAGGUGAGGGCUGGUGAGAUGGCUUGGUGGGUAAGAACACUGACUGCUCUUCCAGAGGACCUGAGUUCAAAUCCCAGCAACCACAUGGUGGCUCACAACCACCCAUAAUAAGAUCUGAUGCCCUCUUCUGGAGU
rnacentral:lncRNA from 1 species